GGGCGCUUAGCUCAGUGGUAGAGCGGCAUGCUUACACCGUGCGGGUCAGGGGUUCGAAUCCCUUAGCGCUCA
rnacentral:tRNA from 1 species